GUGCUUACUUUGGUAGCAUAUAUACUAAAACUGGAAUGAUACAGAGAAGAUUAGCAUGGUCCCUGUGCGAGGAUGACGUAAAUUUGUGAAGCAUUUCAUAUGUUU